UGUUGCAGUUAAAGCUCGUAGUUGGAUUUCUGGGGGGUGCGACCGGUCGGCUCCGCMMGGGGUGCGUACUUGUGUCGCCGCUCUUCAUCCUUCGGACGAACGUGUCUGGCAUUAGGUUGUCGGGCUCGGCAGUCCGAUCAUUUACUGUGAAAAAAUUAGGGUGUUUAAAGCAGGCGUUUGCUGUGAAUACAUUAGCAUGGAAUAAUAAGAUAGGACUUUGGUGCUAUUUUGUUGGUUUGCACACCAAGGUAAUGAUUAAUAGGGAUAGUUGGGGAUAUUCAUAUUCAAUAGUCAGAGGUGAAAUUCUUGAUUUAUGGAAGAUGAACUUAUGCGAAAGCAUUUACCAAGGAUGUUUUCAUUAAUCAAGAACGAAAGUUAGGGGAUCGAAGAUGAUUAGAUACCAUCGUAGUCUUAACCAUAAACUAUGCCGACUAGGGAUUGGCGGGUGUUACUUUAAUGACCCCGUCAGCACCUUAUGAGAAAUCAAAGUCUUUGGGUUCCGGGGGGAGUAUGGUCGCAAGGCUGAAACUUAAAGGAAUUGACGGAAGGGCACCACCAGGAGUGGAGCCUGCGGCUUAAUUUGACUCAACACGGGGAAACUUACCAGGUCCAGACAUAGUAAGGAUUGACAGAUUGAGAGCUCUUUCUUGAUUCUAUGGGUGGUGGUGCAUGGCCGUCUUA
rnacentral:rRNA from 1 species